rfam:Stegodyphus mimosarum contig17409, whole genome shotgun sequence.
GCCUUCGUGGUGUAGCAAUCAGCACGCUCGACCCGUAACCGAGAGGUCCGUGGUUCGAUUCCCGGUGAAGGCG